rnacentral:rRNA from 1 species
AACGAACGCUGGCGGCAUGCCUAACACAUGCAAGUCGAACGAGACCUUCGGGUCUAGUGGCGCACGGGUGCGUAACGCGUGGGAACCUGCCCUUAGGUUCGGAAUAACUCCCCGAAAGGGGUGCUAAUACCGGACAAUGUCUUCGGACCAAAGAUUUAUCGCCUUUGGAUGGGCCCGCGUUGGAUUAGCUAGUUGGUAGGGUAAAAGCCUACCAAGGCGACGAUCCAUAGCUGGUCUGAGAGGAUGAUCAGCCACACUGGGACUGAGACACGGCCCAGACUCCUACGGGAGGCAGCAGUGGGGAAUAUUGGAAAAUGGGCGAAAGCCUGAUCCAGCAAUGCCGCGUGAGUGAUGAAGGCCUUAGGGUUGUAAAGCUCUUUUACCCGUGAUGAUAAUGACAGUACCGGGAGAAUAAGCUCCGGCUAACUCCGUG